CUGCUACAGGGGCUCCCAGCGGCCUCCCGCACCGAAGGGACCCUGGGCGUCUGAGGCCCUGAUCCGGGCGGGCCUUCAGGAUGUUAGCAGUCCCUGUCCGGUUGAAGGUAGGAAGCCGAAAACCCGAGUGGGGGACGAACAGACUUACCUCCUGUCCCGCAAAAGAUCCACUAGAUCGUCGUCUCCAAAACCUGAGAGACCGCGAACGGGUUCCAGAGCCGCAGCGUUCUCUCAGACCUGGCGUUCAGGAAGAUUCUAGAGAGCACGGGCAGGUCCCGGAGGUCUCAGACCCGCAGGCCUGCGGGGCGGGGGCGGGGUGGCGCCCAGGACGACUCCCCGGGCUCAGCUUGGCUGCCUGCCUCCUUCUGUAAGUGCUUUUUUUUUCUUCACCUGGGACCCUCUAGAGGUUGGAAAGAGAAGAGAGGCUGGGAGCGGAUGGAAAGCAUGACUGCAUCUGGAGCCCCUGGGGGGAGUGGGGAAGAGGGAGUGGAAGGACAGUGGCUGAGGGGCUUCCUGUUGCAGCCUUCAGCUGGACUCAGGGUUGGGGUCACUGGAGGAGGAGGUGGCUUCCUGCCCCAUUGUUCUGGACUGCAGUGUUUCUUGGGAAUACUUACUGUAUGUGGAUUUUCAGUAACCAACUUGGAAAGCUGUAUUUGUUCCCAUGAUUCAGCAAACAAUGAGUACCUACUGUGUGUAGAAGCAGCAGGACAGCCUGUCAUCACUGGGAAAGAGGCCAGAAGAGCCGUUUGGCCAGGGUCUCCAAUUUAGGCUUUCAACAUUAUCUCUAAAGAAGGUUAUACAUUAUGUCGGCUCCACUGGCUGAUGGGAUCAAAGACCCUCCUUGUAUAUCCUUAAACCUGUACUCUAUUACCAGGCCACUGUGCCUGUGGAGCACUGUAAGUUCCUACCUUUUAAUAAAUUUUAUAAUUAUCUUGUGAGCAGCACAAUUGUCAUAGUUUUUUGUAUCAGAAACAUUAAUUUGUUAAACAUUUUAAAA
rnacentral:lncRNA from 1 species